UGCAAGUCGAACGGUGAAAGAGAGCUUGCUCUCUGGAUCAGUGGCGAACGGGUGAGUAACACGUGAGCAAUCUGCCCCUGACUCUGGGAUAAGCGCUGGAAACGGCGUCUAAUACCGGAUACGAGCUGCGAAGGCAUCUUCAGCAGCUGGAAAGAAUUUCGGUCAGGGAUGAGCUCGCGGCCUAUCAGCUUGUUGGUGAGGUAAUGGCUCACCAAGGCGUCGACGGGUAGCCGGCCUGAGAGGGUGACCGGCCACACUGGGACUGAGACACGGCCCAGACUCCUACGGGAGGCAGCAGUGGGGAAUAUUGCACAAUGGGCGAAAGCCUGAUGCAGCAACGCCGCGUGAGGGAUGACGGCCUUCGGGUUGUAAACCUCUUUUAGCAAGGAAGAAGCGAAAGUGACGGUACUUGCAGAAAAAGCGCCGGCUAACUACGUGCCAGCAGCCGCGGUAAUACGUAGGGCGCAAGCGUUAUCCGGAAUUAUUGGGCGUAAAGAGCUCGUAGGCGGUCUGUCGCGUCUGCUGUGAAAACCCGAGGCUCAACCUCGGGCCUGCAGUGGGUACGGGCAGACUAGAGUGCGGUAGGGGAGAUUGGAAUUCCUGGUGUAGCAGUGGAAUGCGCAGAUAUCAGGAGGAACACCAAUGGCGAAGGCAGAUCUCUGGGCCGUAACUGACGCUGAGGAGCGAAAGGGUGGGGAGCAAACAGGCUUAGAUACCCU
rnacentral:rRNA from 1 species